rnacentral:rRNA from 1 species
CCCCACUGCUAUCGGGAUGGGACUAAGACAUGCUAGUCGUGCGUCUCCAAGCCAUGGCGGAGACGCGGCGCACAGCUCAGUAACACGUGGCUAACCUGCCCUUAGGACAGGGACAACCCCGGGAAACUGGGGCUAAUCCCUGAUAGGUGAGGGUUCCUGGAAUGGGCCCUCGCCGAAAGGGCGCCUAGACCAUGCUUCUAGGCGCUGCCCAAGGAUGGAGCCGCGGCCGAUCAGGUUGUUGGUGGGGUAACGGCUCACCAAGCCUAUAACCGGUACGGGCCGUGAGAGCGGGAGCCCGGAGAUGGGCACUGAGACAAGGGCCCAGGCCCUACGGGGCGCAGCAGUCGCGAAAACUCCGCAAUGCGCGAAAGCGUGACGGGGCUACCCCGAGUGCCGUCCGCUGAGGAUGGCUUUUCCCCGGUGUAAUGAGCCGGGGGAAUAAGGAGAGGGCAAGUCUGGUGUCAGCCGCCGCGGUAAUACCAGCUCUCCGAGUGGUAGGGACGAUUAUUGGGCUUAAAGCGUCCGUAGCCGGCUUAGCAAGUCUUCUGUUAAAUUCAGCGACCUAAUCGUUGAGCCGCGGGAGAUACUACUAGGCUAGGAGGCGGGAGAGGCCGACGGUAUUCUCGGGGUAGGGGUGAAAUCCUAUAAUCCCGGGAGGACCACCAGUGGCGAAGGCUGUCGGCUAGAACGCGCUCGACGGUGAGGGACGAAAGCUGGGGGAGCGAACCGGAUUAGAUACCCGGGUAGUCCCAGCUGUAAACGAUGCGGGCUAGGUGUUGGGGUGGCUACGAGCCACUUCAGUGCCGCAGGGAAGCCAUUAAGCCCGCCGCCUGGGGAGUACGGCCGCAAGGCUGAAACUUAAAGGAAUUGGCGGGGGAGCACCACAAGGCGUGAAGCUUGCGGUUC